rnacentral:rRNA from 1 species
CUACGGGUGGCACCAGUCGAGAAUCAUCCGCAAUGGGCGAAAGCCUGACGGUGCAAUGCCGCGUGGAGGAUGACGCAUUUCGGUGUGUAAACUCCUUUUAUAUGUCAAGAAAAUGACGGUAGCAUAUGAAUAAGCACCGGCUAACUCCGUGCCAGCAGCCGCGGUAAUACGGAGGGUGCAAGCGUGUACUCGGAAUCACUGGGCGUAAAGGACGCGUAGGCGGGUUGGAAAGUCAGGUGUGAAAUCCUACAGCUUAACUGUAGAACUGCACUUGAAACUUCUAAUCUAGAGUAUGGGAGGGGGAGAUGGAAUUAGUGGUGUAGGGGUAAAAUCCGUAGAUAUCACUAGGAAUACCUAAAGCGAAGGCGAUCUCCUGGAACAUUACUGACGCUAAGGCGUGAAAGCGUGGGGAGCAAACAGGAUUAGAUACCCCCGUAGUC